GACGAACGCUGGCGGCGUGCUUAACACAUGCAAGUCGAACGCUGAAGACCUGGCUUUUGUUGGGUUGGAUGAGUGGCGAACGGGUGAGUAACACGUGAGUAACCUGCCCCCUUCUUUGGGAUAACGCCCGGAAACGGGUGCUAAUACUGGAUAUUCACUGGCCUUCGCAUGGGGGUUGGUGGAAAGGUUUUUUCUGGUGGGGGAUGGGCUCGCGGCCUAUCAGCCUGUUGGUGGGGUGAUGGCCUACCAAGGCUUUGACGGGUAGCCGGCCUGAGAGGGUGACCGGUCACAUUGGGACUGAGAUACGGCCCACACUCCUACGGGAGGCAGCAGUGGGGAAUAUUGCACAAUGGGUGAAAGCCUGAUGCCUCGACCCCGCGCGAGGGAUCGAGGCCUUCCGGUUUUACAACCUCUUUCGCUCAUGGUCACAGCGGAUUAUUGGGGUGGGGGGGGGGGGGGGUGGGAAAAAAUAUCGAGUGCUGCGUUCCCCCCAACGGCAGCCACAAAUAAUAGCGGGGCUCGCCCCCUCCGCACACAAUGGGGGGGGGGGGGGACGCCCCCAAAAAAAAACUUCCACUCGA
rnacentral:rRNA from 1 species